rnacentral:rRNA from 1 species
UACGUAGGGUGCAAGCGUUUGUCCGGAAUUAUUGGGCGUAAAGAGCUCGUAGGCGGUCUGUCACGUCGGCUGUGAAAACCCGAGGCUCAACCUCGGGCCUGCAGUCGAUACGGGCAAACUAGAGUACUGCAGGGGAGACUGGAAUUCCUGGUGUAGCGGUGAAAUGCGCAGAUAUCAGGAGGAACACCGGUGGCGAAGGCGGGUCUCUGGGCAACAACUGACGCUGAGGAGCGAAAGCGUGGGGAGCGAACAGG